rnacentral:rRNA from 1 species
UACGUAGGGGGCGAGCGUUGUCCGAAUUCACUGGGCGUAAAGCGCGCGUAGGCGGGUUAUUAAGUUGGUGGUGAAAUCCCGAGGCUCAACCUCGGAACUGCCGUCAAAACUGAUAGCCUAGAGGUUUGGAGAGGGAACUGGAAUUCCAGGUGUAGCGGUGAAAUGCGUAGAUAUCUGGAGGAACACCCAUGGCGAAGGCAGGUUCCUGGCCAUAUCCUGACGCUGAGGUGCGAAAGCUAGGGUAGCGAACGGG